rnacentral:lncRNA from 1 species
AGGGCAUUAUAUUAUUCCCAUUCCCCAACAUCCCGGACAACAAGAGGUCUACACCCACAUGGCUAGGAUUGUGAGGUACCAGGAGUGUUCCUGCUACAAGUGGUUUUUCUGGGGAAUGAAAACUUAAUUUUCUCACAUCUAUGCCGAGCUUCACACUAAGUGUUUAUCAUAGUCUCAGUGUCUAAUCGUGAAGAUUGCACGAGCCUGCCAAUUAAGCCGCUUGGUCACACUGCAAAUGACCCCCGCAGAGGCAUCAUCCGUAGUGGUGGUAUUCUCUCCCAGUGAAAGCUCAUGGUUUAGCCUUCUAACACAAUCAAGAAGCAUCGAUGUCCGCACGAAUAGUUUCCUAGUUGAAGUUGUUGACUCGAAGAUUUACAUCAAUGGUUGUAGCACCAUGUUUGAUUUGUAGUUCGACGAACCAGUGUUGAAGGAAAUGUUGUGCCCACGGCCUCUUCCGGGUUGAUCGAACUGGUUUGGUGAGUUGUGAGAAGGCUGCGAAAAUUGUUGCCCACGAAAAAUAAGGCUGUGAAAUGGGAGAUCCCAUGGCCAAUCCACGUCGACUCUGUCUCUGCUGCUUGGGCAGCCACCACGGCGAGCUUAGGAUGAAAAUGGAAUGAUGCUCCGGAUCGUUCCCAAGUCCAGGUCUUCUAGUGAUAAUUUUCCAUUAGCUCGGCAGAUUUUCCCAUCGGUUCAGAAGUUAGCCUCACAAAACAAAACAACGUACACAUUUAGCAACCAUUUCACCGAAGUACAUUACAGUUUUAUGGUACCAGUUUGACAAAGAAAACGAUUCAGUUUAGCAAAUAAAAUGGCGUGGUUUUAUGGUGGUUUAAACGAUGAAGGGAAAUUUAGAACUUCUAAAAUCCCCCAUUAAGUUAUUUUCCCUUGCCAGUUUUGAUCUCGAGCAUUGGCUUCUGUUAAAACAUUCCACAUUCCUUUGCAGAAAAAAUGUGGAGUUUGCUACGGUGGUCAUCUCUUAACGCUUGCAAUCCACAAAUUGCAGGAUUGAAUGUCGAAACAAGAACAUGAUGAAGAAUUCAACAUAUAAUCAU